AUUGAACGCUGGCGGCAGGCCUAACACAUGCAAGUCGAGCGAGCGGCGGACGGGUGAGUACUGUCUGGGAAACUGCCUGAUGGAGGGGGAUAACUACUGGAAACGGUAGCUAAUACCGCAUACCACCAGAUGUGCCCAGAUGGGAUUAGCUAGUAGGUGGGGUAAUGGCUCACCUAGGCGGCGAUCCCUAGCUGGUCUGAGAGGAUGACCAGCCACACUGUAGAUUCGACACUGUCCAGACUCCUACGGGAUGCCGCAGUUGGUAAUAUUGCUCAUGGGGAGCGGGCCGGAUGCAGCCAUGCCGCGUGUGUUACGAAGGCCCUCCGGUUGUAAAGCACUUUCAGCGAGGUGGCGUUACCCGCAGAAGAAGCACCGGCUAACUCCGUGCCAGCAGCCGCGGUAAUAC
rnacentral:rRNA from 1 species